rnacentral:hammerhead_ribozyme from 1 species
GUACUGCUGAGGAGUCCCACAAUAGAACGAAACAGUCGUCCAGUGC